UACGUAGGGGGCAAGCGUUGUCCGGAAUUAUUGGGCGUAAAGAGCGCGUAGGCGGUCCGGUAAGUCGGUUGUGAAAGUCGGGGGCUCAACCCUCGGAUGCCGAUCGAUACUGUCGGGCUAGAGUCCGGAAGAGGCGAGUGGAAUUCCUGGUGUAGCGGUGAAGUGCGCAGAUAUCAGGAGGAACACCAAUGGCGAAGGCAGCUCGCUGGGACGGUACUGACGCUGAGGAGCGAAAGCGUGGGGAGCGAACAGG
rnacentral:rRNA from 1 species